GUUUUCAGUGCAGGUCUUUCAUCUCCUUGUUUAAAUUUAUUCUGAGAUAUUUUAUUAUUUUCAGUGUAACUGUAAAAGGGAUUGUUUUCCCAAUUCCUCCUUGGAUAGAGAGAAACGCCGCUGAUUUUGGUAUACUAAUUUCACAGUUUGUAACUUUACUGAUUCAGGUAUUAGUGCUAGAAAUUUGCUGGUGGACUCAUUAGGCUUCUCUAUACAUAUGAUAUAAUGUCAUCUAUAAUUCGAGAUCCUUACUUUUUCCUUUCCAAUUUGGAUUAUUUUAUUAUUAUUUGUUUUCUUGUCUAAUUGCUUGUCCAGGAUUUCUGAUAGUCUGUAGAGUUAAAAGUGGUGAGAGUGGGCAUCCUUGUCUUUUUCCAGAUCUUAGAGGAAUAGCUGUCAGCUUUCCACCUUGGGCUAUGGUGUUAGGUGUGGGCUUGUCAUAUAUGGUCUUCAUCGUAAUGAGGUGUCUUUCCUGCAAACCACUUUGUCAGGAGUGUUUAUCUCAUAAAUGGAUGUUGAUGUUUCUGCAUUUAUUGUGAUGAUCACACGACUUUUAUCCUUUAUUUUAUUAUCGUAGUGUAGCUUUGAUUUGUGAAUGUCGAACCAUCCUUGUAUUCUUGGAAUAAAUCCCACUUGAUCAUAGUAUAUGUUUCGUUGAUUGUAUCGUUGAAUUUGGUUUGUUAAUAUUUUCUUGAGGAGUUUUGCAUCUCUGUUCCUCAGGGAUAUUGGCCUGUGAUUUCCUUCCCUGUUGUGUCCUUGUCUAGUUUUGCUGUCACAGUAAGACUUUGCCUCAUGAAAAUGAGAUUGGAAAUGUUCCCUCAUCAGUUUUUGGGGUUUUUUUUUUUUGAAAGAGAUUGAGGUAUAGUGUUAAUUUUCUAAAAUUUGGAUUGAAUUCAGCGUUGAAGCCAUGGGUCCUAGAGUUUAGUUUGUGGAGAAAUUGUUAAUAACCGAGUCAAUCUUAUUACUUGAAAUUUGUGUUUUCAUAUUUUCUGUUCCUUUAUCAGAUAAGCUCGUGGGUUAUCUUUUCUAGGAAUUUAUCCAUUUCUGCUAGGUUGACCUAUUCUUUUGCUCUACAAUUGUGCAUGAUAGUCUCAUAAUCCUUUGUAUUCUGUGGUAUGUGUUGUAAUGUCUCCUUCGUUUCUGAUUUUAUUUGAGUUCUGUAGUGUACUUGGUUAGUGUAGCUAAAUUUGCCUUUUUUUUUUUUUUAAGAACAUUAGCUGUCCCUAAUCUUUUCUACUGCCUUUGUAGUCUCUAUUCCUUUUAGUCCACUCUGAUCUGCGUUAUUUCCUUCCUUCUACUAACUUUGGGCUUUGUUUAUUCCUUUUUUCCCUAGUUCCUUGAGGUAUAAAGUAGGUGGUUCAUUUGGGCUCUGUGUCUUGGUAUAGGUAUUUAUUACUAUGAAUUUCCCUAUUAGGAAUGUUUUUGCUGCAUCAAAUUUUGGUAUGUUGUUUAUCCACUUUAAUUUGUCAGAAGAUUUUUUUUUAUUUCUUUAGAUUUCUAUUUUUAUUUCUUUAGAUUUCCAUUGGUUUUUCACUUUGUGAUGUUUAAUCUCCACACUAUUGUGAAUUUGUUUUUCCUCUCUCAUUACUUUGCAAAUACAUUGUGCCGCUUCGCUCUAGCCUACACACAGUUUCUGCUGAAAUGUCUGCUGAUCGUUUCAUGGGGAUUCCCUUGUACAUACAGGGUGUGUUUGUUUGUUUCUUUGUUUUUUCUCUUGUUGCUUUUAGACUCUUUCCUUGUCUUUAAAUUGAAAGUUUAUCUAUGUUUAUCGGAUGGGUCUCUUUGAAUUGUUACUUGGAACACUGCAGGCUUUCUUUAUCUGGGUGUCUGCAUCCUUCCCCAGGUUUGGGAAGUUUGGAGCUGUUGUUUCUUCAAUAUGUUUUCUGCCCCUUUCUCAAUAUCUUCUCCUCUGGGACCUUUAUUAUGUGAGUGUUGGUGAGCUUGGUGUGCCUUAAAGCUGUUUCUAAUUCUGUUUUCUUUUUGCUUCUCUGAUUGGGUGAGUUCCACUGCCUUGUCUUCCACUUCACUGAUUCCUUUUUGUGCUUCAUCUAAUCUGCUGCGCAAGCCUCUCUUGCAUAUAUUGCAGUUCAGUUCGUGUAUAUCCUUCUAUGACUUCUAUUUGAAUAUUAAUUUGUAUUUUCUAUUACUUUAUUAUAAUUCACACUUUGUUCAUCUGUUCUUCUCCCAGGCUUGGUGAGCGUCUUUAGGACUGUUAAUUUGAACUGCCUUUUAUCAGCUGGAGGAGAGCAGGAAUGUUCAGAAGCAAAUGAAGGUUCUGCAGAAGAAACAAGCCCAGAUCAUCAAAGAGAAAGUUCACUUGCAGAGUGAACACAGCAAGGCCAUCUUGG